AGAGUUUGAUCCUGGCUCAGGACGAACGCUGGCGGCGCGCCUAACACAUGCAAGUCGAACGAGCGAGAGAGAGCUUGCUUUCUCGAGCGAGUGGCGAACGGGUGAGUAACGCGUGAGGAACCUGCCUCAAAGAGGGGGACAACAGUUGGAAACGACUGCUAAUACCGCAUAAGCCCACGGGUCGGCAUCGACCAGAGGGAAAAGGAGCAAUCCGCUUUGAGAUGGCCUCGCGUCCGAUUAGCUAGUUGGUGAGGUAACGGCCCACCAAGGCGACGAUCGGUAGCCGGACUGAGAGGUUGAACGGCCACAUUGGGACUGAGACACGGCCCAGACUCCUACGGGAGGCAGCAGUGGGGGAUAUUGCGCAAUGGGGGAAACCCUGACGCAGCAACGCCGCGUGAAGGAUGAAGGUCUUCGGAUUGUAAACUUCUUUUAUUAAGGACGAAGAAAGUGACGGUACUUAAUGAAUAAGCUCCGGCUAACUACGUGCCAGCAGCCGCGGUAAUACGUAGGGAGCAAGCGUUGUCCGGAUUUACUGGGUGUAAAGGGUGCGUAGGCGGCUUUGCAAGUCAGAUGUGAAAUCUAUGGGCUCAACCCAUAGCCUGCAUUUGAAACUGCAGAGCUUGAGUGAAGUAGAGGCAGGCGGAAUUCCCCGUGUAGCGGUGAAAUGCGUAGAGAUGGGGAGGAACACCAGUGGCGAAGGCGGCCUGCUGGGCUUUAACUGACGCUGAGGCACGAAAGCGUGGGUAGCAAACAGGAUUAGAUACCCUGGUAGUCCACGCUGUAAACGAUGAUUACUAGGUGUGGGGGGUCUGACCCCUUCCGUGCCGGAGUUAACACAAUAAGUAAUCCACCUGGGGAGUACGGCCGCAAGGUUGAAACUCAAAGGAAUUGACGGGGGCCCGCACAAGCAGCGGAGCAUGUGGUUUAAUUCGAAGCAACGCGAAGAACCUUACCAGGGCUUGACAUCCUACUAACGAGAUAGAGAUAUGUUAGGUGCCCUUCGGGGAAAGUAGAGACAGGUGGUGCAUGGUUGUCGUCAGCUCGUGUCGUGAGAUGUUGGGUUAAGUCCCGCAACGAGCGCAACCCCCGCCGCGUGUUGCCAUCGGGUGAUGCCGGGAACCCACGCGGGACCGCCGCCGUCAAGGCGGAGGAGGGCGGGGACGACGUCAAGUCAUCAUGCCCCUUAUGCCCUGGGCUGCACACGUGCUACAAUGGCCGGUACAGAGGGAUGCCACCCCGCGAGGGGGAGCGGAUCCCGGAAAGCCGGCCCCAGUUCGGAUUGGGGGCUGCAACCCGCCCCCAUGAAGUCGGAGUUGCUAGUAAUCGCGGAUCAGCAUGCCGCGGUGAAUGCGUUCCCGGGCCUUGUACACACCGCCCGUCACACCACCCGAGUCGUCUGCACCCGAAGUCGCCGGCCCAACCGAGAGGGGGGAGGCGCCGAAGGUGUGGAGGGUGAGGGGGGUGAAGUCGUAACAAGGUAGCCGUACCGGAAGGUGCGGCUG
rnacentral:rRNA from 1 species